AUUGAACGCUGGCGGCAGGCCUAGCACAUGCAGGUCGAACGGCAGCGGGGGGUAGCUUGCUACCCCGCCGGCGAGUGGCGGACGGGUGAGUAAUGCCUGGGGAGCUGCCCAAUCGAGGGGGAUACCAGUUGGAAACGACUGCUAAUACCGCAUACGCCCUGAGGGGGAAAGGUGGGGAUCUUCGGACCUACCGCGACUGGAUGCACCCAGGUGGGAUUAGCUAGUUGGUGAGGUAACGGCUCACCAAGGCGACGAUCUCUAGCUGGUCUGAGAGGAUGACCAGCCACACUGGAACUGAGACACGGUCCAGACUCCUACGGGAGGCAGCAGUGGGGAAUAUUGCACAAUGGGGGAAACCCUGAUGCAGCCAUGCCGCGUGUGUGAAGAAGGCCUUAGGGUUGUAAAGCACUUUCAGUGGGGAGGAAAGGGUGGAAGCUAAUACCUUUCAUCUGUGACGUUACCCACAGAAGAAGCACCGGCUAACUCCGUGCCAGCCGCCGCAGUAA
rnacentral:rRNA from 1 species